CCUCCUUUGUAAGGAAAAAAAUCAUUUCAGUUUUCCAAAUUACCUAUAUAAGUUUUUCUUUUAGGUAAAUUUUACCUUUUAAAGUUCUUUGAAAAGUAGAUAAAUAUAGCUUUUAGAAUUAUAGUGGAUUAAAGG
rnacentral:tRNA from 1 species